rnacentral:rRNA from 1 species
UGCGGUUACGUCACGUUGAAACACCGGUUCUCGUACGAUCAUCGAAGUUAAGCAACGUCGAGCCUGGUCGGUACCUAGAUGGGUAACCGCUUGGGAAUACCAGCUGCCGUAAG